AACGAACGCUGGCGGCAGGCUUAACACAUGCAAGUCGAACGCAUCCUUCGGGGUGAGUGUCAGACGGGUGAGUAACGCGUGGGAAUCUACCUCUUGCUACGGGCUAGCUCCGGGAAACUGGAAUUACUACCGUAUGUGGCCUAUGGGCGAAAGAUUUAUCGGCAAGGGAUGAGCCCGCGUUGGAUUAGCUAGUUGGUGGGGUAAAGGCCUACCAAUGCGACGAUCCAUAGCUGGUCUGAGAGGAUGAUCAGCCACAUUGGGACUGAGACACGGCCCAAACGCCUACUGGAGGCAGCAGUGGGGAAUAUGGGACAAUGGUGGCAAGCCUGAUCCAGCCAUGCCGCGUGAGUGAUGAAGGUCUUAGGAUUGUAAGGCUCUACAACCGGGGACGAUAAUGACGGUACCCGGAGAAGAAGCCCCGGCUAACUUCGUGCCAGCCGCCGCCGUAA
rnacentral:rRNA from 1 species